rnacentral:rRNA from 1 species
GUGGGGAAUAUUGGACAGUGGGCGAAAGCCUGAUCCAGCAAUGCCGCGUGAGUGAUGAAGGCCCUAGGGUUGUAAAGCUCUUUUACCCGGGAAGAUAAUGACUGUACCGGGAGAAUAAGCCCCGGCUAACUCCGUGCCAGCAGCCGCGGUAAUACGGAGGGGGCUAGCGUUGUUCGGAAUUACUGGGCGUAAAGCGCACGUAGGCGGCUUUGUAAGUUAGAGGUGAAAGCCCGGGGCUCAACCCCGGAAUAGCCUUUAAGACUGCAUCGCUUGAACACGGGAGAGGUGAGUGGAAUUCCGAGUGUAGAGGUGAAAUUCGUAGAUAUUCGGAAGAACACCAGUGGCGAAGGCGGCUCACUGGACCGUUGUUGACGCUGAGGUGCGAAAGCGUGGGGAGCAAAC